UGUAUUGGACAACCACGGCGUUCACGGGUAACGGAGAAUUAGGGUUCGAUUCCGGAGAGGGAGCCUGAGAAACGGCUACCACAUCUAAGGAAGGCAGCAGGCGCGUAAAUUACCCAAUCCCAAUUCGGGGAGGUAGUGACAAGAAAUAACAACCUGGGGACUUUCACAGUCUUACGGGAUUGCAAUGAGGACAAUUUAAAAACCUUAUCGAGGAACAAUUGGAGGGCAAGUCUGGUGCCAGCAGCCGCGGUAAUUCCAGCUCCAAUAGCGUAUAUUGAAGUUGUUGCAGUUAAAAAGCUCGUAGUUGAAAUUCUAACUGUUGUUAGCGCUGGCUUUGGUCGGACUAAGAGCAGUUAUCCGUCUGUAAACUGUGUUCGUCCUUCACUGGUCGUCGCAGGGAGCAGACCUUUUACUUUGAAAAAAUUAGAGUGUUUCAAGCAGGCAAUGGCUCGAAUACAUUAGCAUGGAAUAAUGGAAUAGGACUUUUGUCCAUUUGGUUGGUUAUUGGACAUGAGUAAUGAUUAACAGGGACAGUUGGGGGCAUUAGUAUUUAAUUGUCAGAGGUGAAAUUCUUGGAUUUAUUAAAGACUAACUUAUGCGAAAGCAUUUGCCAAGGAUGUUUUCA
rnacentral:rRNA from 1 species